GACGAACGCUGGCGGCGUGCUUAACACAUGCAAGUCGAGCGGUAAGGCCCUUUCGGGGUACGACGAGCGGCGAACGGGUGAGUAACACGUGGGUGACCUGCCCUCAGCUCUGGGAUAAGCCUGGGAAACCGGGUCUAAUACCGGAUAUGACUCCAUGACGCAUGUUGUGGGGUGGAAAGCCUUGUGCGGCUGAGGAUGGGCCCGCGGCCUAUCAGCUUGUUGGUGGGGUGAUGGCCUACCAAGGCGACGACGGGUAGCCGGCCUGAGAGGGCGACCGGCCACACUGGGACUGAGACACGGCCCAGACUCCUACGGGAGGCAGCAGUGGGGAAUCUUGCGCAGUGGGCGAAAGCCUGACGCAGCGACGCCGCGUGAGGGAUGACGGCCU
rnacentral:rRNA from 1 species